UGACUUAGCAUCACACGCCAUCCC
rnacentral:siRNA from 1 species